UACGUAGGUGGCAAGCGUUAUCCGGAAUUAUUGGGCGUAAAGAGCGCGCAGGUGGUUGAUUAAGUCUGAUGUGAAAGCCCACGGCUUAACCGUGGAGGGUCAUUGGAAACUGGUCGACUUGAGUGCAGAAGAGGGAAGUGGAAUUCCAUGUGUAGCGGUGAAAUGCGUAGAUAUUGGGAAGAACACCGGUGGCGAAGGCGACUUGCUGGGCAGCAACUGACGCUGAGGCGCGAAAGCCAGGGGAGCAAACAGGAUUAGAUACCCU
rnacentral:rRNA from 1 species